GAUGAACGCUGGCGGCGUGCCUAAUACAUGCAAGUCGAACGCUGAAGGAGGAGCUUGCUCUUUCCGGCUGAGUUGCGAACGGGUGAGUAACGCGUAGGUAACCUGCCUGGUAGCGGGGGUUAACUAUUGGAAACGAUAGCUAAUACCGCAUAACAGUAGAUAUUGCAUGAUAUUUGCUGGAAAGGGGCAAUUUCUCCACUACCAGAUCGACCUGCGUUGUAUUUGCUAGUUGGGGAGGUAACGGCUCACCAAGGCGACGAUACAUAGCCGACCGGCGAGGGUGAUGGGCCACAAUGAGACGGAGACACGGCUCAGUGGCAUGAGGGGUGCAGCCGUAGGGAAACUUCAGCCAUGGACGGGAGUCUGUCCGAGAAACGCCGAGUGAGUGAAUAAGGUCUUCGGCUCGGAAAGCUCUGUUGUAGGGGAAGAACGCGUGUUAGAGUGGAACGUUCACACUGUGACGGUAACUUAGCAGAAAGGGACGGCUAACUACGUG
rnacentral:rRNA from 1 species